UAUAAUAGUCGCUUGCCGAAGACAGUAGGUGCACACAACGUGCGUAAAGGAAACUGCCUACCGAGGAAAGAAACUUAAAUUUACAAGUUUUCGGACCUUUUCUGUCUUUGCGGAAAAGGUCUUUUAUUCU
rnacentral:sRNA from 1 species